rnacentral:rRNA from 1 species
GAAGAAAAGGAGCAGGCAUCAGGCACGCGCCCGCAGCCCAAAACGCCUUGUUAGCCACACCCCCAAGGGAACUCAGCAGUGAUAGACAUAAGCUAUAAGCGAAAGCUUGACUUAGCUAGGGUUAAGAGGGCCGGUAAAACUCGUGCCAGCCACCGCGGUUAUACGAGGGGCCCAAAUUGAUAUGCUACGGCGUAAAGUGUGAUUAGAGAUAAACUUAUACUAAAGCCAAACACCCCCUAUGCUGUCAUACGCCAUGGAGAACACGAAGUCCAACAACGAAGGUGGCUUUAUGAAUCUUGAACUCACGACAGCUAAGACACAAACUGGGAUUAGAUACCCCACUAUGCUUAGCUUUAAACCAAGGUGAUAACACCACAAACCUCACCCGCCAGGGGACUACGAGCACUAGCUUAAAACCCAAAGGACUUGGCGGUGCCUCAAACCCGCCUAGAGGAGCCUGUCCUGCAACCGAUAAUCCUCGUUAAACCUCACCCCUUCUUGUCGAUCCCGCCUAUAUACCGCCGUCGCCAGUUUACCUUAUGAAAGAAUAACAGUAAGCAAAAUGGGUAACACCCAGUACGUCAGGUCGAGGUGUAGCGAAUGAAGGGGGAAGAGAUGGUCUACAUUUUCUGUUAACAGAACAUCACGAAGAGUGUAAUGAAA